rnacentral:rRNA from 1 species
CCUACGGGUGGCUGCAGUAACGAAUCUUCCGCAAUGGGCGAAAGCCUGACGGAGCAAUGCCGCGUGUGGGAUGAAGCGUCUCUGACGUGUAAACCACUGUCAGGGGGUGGAACCAAUGAUUACCCCCAGAGGAAGUGGCGACUAACUCUGUGCCAGCAGUCGCGGUAAUACAGAGGCCACGAGCGUUAGUCGGAAUCACUGGGCUUAAAGGGUGCGUAGGCCGACGUGUAAGCGUUCCGUGAAAUCCCGGAGCUCAACUCCGGAACAGCGGGGCG